UCAAGAGACCCCUCUGUGUGUAUCCGCAAUCUGCCCGGCGGUAGGACCAUGGCCACGUCCUCUGUGUCCAAGGGCUGUUUUGUGUUUAAACCCAACUUCAAGAAAAGGAAUAUCUCUGUGCCAAUAGUGACUACAGGAAGAAUUAAAUAAAAUCUGUUUGACAGUCUAAUUGAAUUUCUGCAAAAGUCUCAUAUUGGAUUUAAAAAGAAUUCAAGAGACCAGGGCCAUCAAAUAAAACAUAGAGAAAUUCCAGCUGCUGCUCUUGUUCUUGGUGUGAAUGUUACAGAUCAUGAUUUAAUAUUCAGAAGUCUAACAGAGGC
rnacentral:lncRNA from 1 species